CACUAAACCCCAGGGGGUAAAAUUGCAGUAGUUUACUCUUAGUUUUAUAGUGACGGCUUGUAAUUGUAGAGAUUUAAAAAAGUGACCGAUCAAGACAUUUUUUCAUGGUUAUUAAAAUUUGUGAGUUUUUUGGGUCUAUAAAAUUAUUUCUAAUGUUACGGGUGUUUUUAGGCUUUCUUAGUUAUCAUAUCAUCCGCCACAUAAUAUUCUUAUAAGUCUUUAAAAACCUCAUUUCAUCUUAAAUCUUAUAAAUAUACUUACUCUCUUGAAUUUUAACCUCAUUAAUAUUUAAAUAAAAGUUUUUUUUUAGUUUGGGCUCACCUCGUCACUAAAACCACGACAAACUUACAUUUAUAGUUAAGGGUCUCAAAGGACACCAUUGCUUUAAUGCUAAGGGUUCUAAAGGCAAGGAUUGGAGAUUGACUAAAUUGAUUUAUCAAUGGGACAUAGUAUGAGGGACUGUGGUAGUACGGUUAUUAAAAAUUUUGGAGCAAGCAUCAAGUUUUUACGCUGGAAGUUGGGGGAAAAGGUCAAUUUUUUGGAUGGGUAUGUUUUGUUGUUUGGCUGGGUUUACAUCUGUUGUCCAAGUUUGCUGACUGGUUCCGAGUUUGUGGGUUGGGCUGGUUCUGUUCCGGGUUUCGUGAUUGGGUCCGGGUUUGCUCUUCGGUCAGGAUCUAGUCCGGGUUUACAUUCAGAGCUGCUUGUUUUAUCAUCUGAGUUUUUCUUCUGGGUUUGCUCCUGGUUUAUUUAUCCGAGUCUGGAGGGCCUUUGUGUUCGGAUUUGGUGUGCGGCCCAGUUUGUUUAGCCUAUAAUUGUGCGGCUCAGGUUUGGGCUACAAAGCAGGCCCAAUUUUUGUUACCUAUUGGGCUCCGCUUUAGGUGCUGCUGCAACUGGAUUUUAAAGGCCCAUGUUUUUUGGGUCUCUUUACUGUUUUAUCUCGCCAGGUCUGUUGGUUUGGGCUGUGAUUUUCUUGCGUGGUCCAGAUUCAGUAGAAGGGCCGAGAGUCGGUUUCAAAGCCCAUGUUGCAGUCCCCCAGCCGCUAGUAAAAGUAUGUUCCAGCUGUGGGCUAAUUUGAAGUGGGGUGGGCGGCCCACUUACCCGUUGAUUUUUGUUGUGGGCAUGGUUUAUCUUUGCUGCCAUGUUUUCUCCGUUUUGGAAGGCCCAUCCCAUGGGUUCACUCACAUGUAGAUUAAAGGCCCAAUUUUCUUGGGCUCCAGUCGUGUCGUUUUGAAUAGUUCCAACUGUAGUGUUGAUUUGUUAGAAAAGGAUAUUAUCCCUACUAGAAUUUUAUAUUUUUGUUGGCAUAAUAUGGUUUUCGUU